GAAAGAAAAAGAGAGAGCGAGGCCGACGGGGAAUCCAUCCCACAGUGAGCUGUUCUUCUCUCUUUCUCCCCUCCACUCCCGACUUCCUUCCCUUCCCUUCCGAGUCGUCGCCUCGCAGGCAGGCACAGCACGCCAAUCCGCCCCCGGAUUCCCCCCGCCGUCCGGCCGCCGCCGCCGCCGCCCCCCCUCCUCCGGCCUCCGCCCCGCUCCCGGCCCAGGGACCAUUUCAUUGCUGGAGAACAUAUCAUUUCCAGAAACCUUGCCAUCAGUGUGUGUUGCAUCUUUGAAAGAUGAUUGAGGGGGCAAGGUUCCACAAUAUGUUAGGUGGUGGUGGUGCUGGCAUCGGCGGCGGCAGAGGGAAGCUGGAGAACGAGGGCAACGGCUUCUACGACAUGCCGUAUUACCACAAGGUCGGGGAGAGCUCCCACAUGUCGGUGGACAGCGCGGACAACAUGAACUCGAUGAACUACGUCGGCGGCUCGGUCGCCAUGUCGGUGGACAACAGCAGCGUGGCCUCCAACGAGUCCCGCACCGUCAUGCUCAACCACCCGGGCCUCCGUGAUGUUCCCACACCAAACUAUUCGGUUUGCAACAGCGUCAUCUAUCCCAACAAGGCUGCCGCGUCUGUCCUCAAGGAGGAUGCGUUGGCUCGGGUUUUGAUGGACCCAACUCAUCCAACGGAGAUACUCACUAACUACGAGGCGUGGACCAUUGAUCUGGGGAAGCUGGACAUGGGGGCUCCUUUUGCUCAGGGGGCCUUUGGGAAGCUGUAUCGGGGAACGUAUAAUGGGGAAGAUGUUGCCAUUAAGCUGCUGGAGAAGCCUGAGAAUGAUCUAGAGAGAGCACAGUUGAUGGAACAGCAGUUUGUGCAAGAAGUUAUGAUGCUUUCCACGUUGAGGCACCCAAAUAUAGUAAGGUUCAUCGGGGCAUGCAGGAAGUCGAUUGUUUGGUGUAUCAUUACUGAAUAUGCAAAAGGUGGCUCUGUCAGGCAGUUCCUUGCCCGAAGGCAGACCAAGUCUGUGCCCCUGAGAUUGGCAGUGAAACAGGCGCUUGAUGUUGCCAGAGGAAUGGCAUAUGUGCAUGCCCUGGGAUUUAUUCACAGGGAUCUGAAGUCAGAUAACCUUCUAAUUUCAGCAGACAAAUCCAUCAAGAUUGCAGACUUUGGAGUUGCUCGAAUCGAGGUAAAAACCGAGGGAAUGACUCCAGAGACAGGAACCUACCGCUGGAUGGCACCGGAGAUGAUCCAGCACAGGCCUUAUGAUCAUAAGGUCGACGUGUAUAGCUUUGGGAUUGUGCUGUGGGAGCUCAUGACCGGCAUGCUCCCCUUCACAAACAUGACAGCAGUUCAGGCCGCUUUUGCCGUGGUAAACAAGAACGCCCGCCCUGCAAUCCCGCAAGAUUGCCUGCCUGCUCUGAGCCACAUCAUGACGCGCUGCUGGGAUGCAAACCCUGAAGUCCGCCCGUCAUUCAACGAGGUCGUCACCAUGCUCGAGGCUGCCGAGACGGACGUCGUUAGCAACGUCCGUAAGGCACGGUUCCGCUGCUGCAUCUCCGAGCCCAUGACCACCGACUGAGACUAGUGCCAGGAUACAGAGUACCAGAAAAUGAAAAAAUGGGAAGAAGAACGAGGAUGGGAAAGGAGGCGACACAAUCUCGAUGUACAGACCACACUGAUACACCUGGGCGUUGCGUGUGCCUGCCUAUCCGAAGGUCUGAUGGCUGCCCUGGGCUAAGCUAGGUUCUUCAUUGCUGCUUUCUACUAUCUUGUCUUAGUUGCAUGGGUUGGAGUGAUUGUUUGCCAAGUAUGAAUGAUGGUACCUUGUAUGUUUUCUGUUUUCUUGGAAGGAUGCUAUCUGGUAUGUUAACAAGGAGCUAUGGUAUGUAUUCUCCGCAAGCAAAGAGCUAUCUUGUCUUGUGUUGAUAGCAGCUGCAUAUUCUGAGUUGCCUUCUAGCUUUUGUGUAAAUCUGUGUCCAUUGCCUGAAGCGUCGGCCUACUGUUGGUCUAGAUGUUUUGUUGAUUUGAGAUUUGAGAAUUGUGAUGACUGUGUGUACUGCCAUUCUUUUCACCUCCAAAUGCAGCCGAUAUUCUUAUUA
rnacentral:rRNA from 1 species